rnacentral:rRNA from 1 species
GUACGUGAGCUGGGUUUAAAACGUCGUGAGACAGUUUGGUCCCUAUCUUCCGUGGGCGCUGCAGAUUUGAGGAAGCCUGCUCCUAGUACGAGAGGACCGGAGUGGACGAACCUCUGGUGUACCGGUUGUCACGCCAGUGGCAUUGCCGGGUAGCUAAGUUCGGAAGAGAUAACCGCUGAAAGCAUCUAAGCGGGAAACUCGUUUCAAGAUUAGAUCUGCCGGGGCCUUGAGCCCCCUAAAGAGUCGUUCAAGACCAGGACGUUGAUAGGCAGGGUGUGGAAGCGCAGUAAUGCGUUAAGCUAACCUGUACUAAUUGCUCGUGCGGCUUGACCCU